GGAGUUUGGGCCGUGUCUCAGUCCCAAUGUGGCUGGUCAUCCUCUCAGACCAGCUACUGAUCGUAGCCUUGGUGAGCCUUUACCUCACCAACUAGCUAAUCAGACGCGGGCCGCUCUAAAGGCGAUAAAUCUUUCCCCCGAAGGGCACAUUCGGCAUUACCACCCGUUUCCAGGAGCUAUUCCGAACCUAAAGGCACGUUCCCACGUGUUACUCACCCGUCCGCCACUAACCCCGAACGGGUCCGUUCGACUUGCAUGUGUUAGGCCUGCCGCCAGCGUUCGCU
rnacentral:rRNA from 1 species